AUUGAACGCUGGCGGCAGGCCUAACACAUGCAAGUCGAACGAGUGGCGGACGGGUGAGUAAUGUCUGGGAAACUGCCUGAUGGAGGGGGAUAACUACUGGAAACGGUAGCUAAUACCGCAUACCAUCAGAUGUGCCCAGAUGGGAUUAGCUUGUUGGUGGGGUAACGGCUCACCAAGGCGACGAUCCCUAGCUGGUCUGAGAGGAUGACCAGCCACACUAGAACUGGUAUACAGUCCAGACUCCUACGUGUGGCAGCAGUGGGGGAGAUUGCACAAUGGGCGCAAGUCUGAUACAGCCAUGCCGCGUGUAUGAAGAAGGCCUUCGGGUUGUAAAGGCCUUUCAGCGGGGAGGCGUAACCCACAGAAGAAGCACCGGCUAACUCCGUGCCAGCAGCCGCGGUAAUUC
rnacentral:rRNA from 1 species